GCCCGCCUAGCUCAAUCGGAUAGAGCGUCAGACUCUUAAGUUGUUCAAGGCGGCGGUAACAGAUCUGAAGGCUGCGAGUUCGACCCUCGCGGUGGGCU